UUUCAUUUAUUUAAAACGACUCUCGGCAACGGAUAUCUCGGCUCUCGCAUCGAUGAAGAACGUAGCGAAAUGCGAUACUUGGUGUGAAUUGCAGAAUCCCGUGAACCAUCGAGUCUUUGAACGCAAGUUGCGCCCCAAGCCGUUAGGCCGAGGGCACGCCUGCCUGGGUGUCACGCA
rnacentral:rRNA from 1 species